GAUGAACGCUGGCGGCGUGCCUAAUACAUGCCAGUCGAGCGAACAGACGAGGAGCUUGCUCCUCUGACGUUAGCGGCGGACGGGUGAGUAACACGUGGAUAACCUACCUAUAAGACUGGGAUAACUUCGGGAAACCGGAGCUAAUACCGGAUAAUAUAUUGAACCGCAUGGUUCAAUAGUGAAAGACGGUUUUGCUGUCACUUAUAGAUGGAUCCGCGCCGCAUUAGCUAGUUGGUAAGGUAACGGCUUACCAAGGCGACGAUGCGUAGCCGACCUGAGAGGGUGAUCGGCCACACUGGAACUGAGACACGGUCCAGACUCCUACGGGAGGCAGCAGUAGGGAAUCUUCCGCAAUGGCGAAAGCCUGACGGAGCAACGCCGCGUGAGUGAUGAAGGUCUUCGGAUCGUAAAACUCUGUUAUUAGGGAAGAACAAAUGUGUAAGUAACUAUGCACGUCUUGACGGUACCUAAUCAGAAAGCCACGGCUAACUACGUG
rnacentral:rRNA from 1 species